AAAUUGAAGAGUUUGAUCAUGGCUCAGAUUGAACGCUGGCGGCAGGCCUAACACAUGCAAGUCGAACGGUAACAGGAAGCAGCUUGCUGCUUUGCUGACGAGUGGCGGACGGGUGAGUAAUGUCUGGGAAACUGCCUGAUGGAGGGGGAUAACUACUGGAAACGGUGGCUAAUACCGCAUAACGUCGCAAGACCAAAGAGGGGGACCUUCGGGCCUCUUGCCAUCAGAUGUGCCCAGAUGGGAUUAGCUAGUUGGUGAGGUAACGGCUCACCAAGGCGACGAUCCCUAGCUGGUCUGAGAGGAUGACCAGCCACACUGGAACUGAGACACGGUCCAGACUCCUACGGGAGGCAGCAGUGGGGAAUAUUGCACAAUGGGCGCAAGCCUGAUGCAGCCAUGCCGCGUGUAUGAAGAAGGCCUUCGGGUUGUAAAGUACUUUCAGCGGGGAGGAAGGUGUUGUGGUUAAUAACCGCAGCAAUUGACGUUACCCGCAGAAGAAGCACCGGCUAACUCCGUGCCAGCAGCCGCGGUAAUACGGAGGGUGCAAGCGUUAAUCGGAAUUACUGGGCGUAAAGCGCACGCAGGCGGUCUGUCAAGUCGGAUGUGAAAUCCCCGGGCUCAACCUGGGAACUGCAUUCGAAACUGGCAGGCUUGAGUCUUGUAGAGGGGGGUAGAAUUCCAGGUGUAGCGGUGAAAUGCGUAGAGAUCUGGAGGAAUACCGGUGGCGAAGGCGGCCCCCUGGACAAAGACUGACGCUCAGGUGCGAAAGCGUGGGGAGCAAACAGGAUUAGAUACCCUGGUAGUCCACGCCGUAAACGAUGUCUACUUGGAGGUUGUGCCCUUGAGGCGUGGCUUCCGGAGCUAACGCGUUAAGUAGACCGCCUGGGGAGUACGGCCGCAAGGUUAAAACUCAAAUGAAUUGACGGGGGCCCGCACAAGCGGUGGAGCAUGUGGUUUAAUUCGAUGCAACGCGAAGAACCUUACCUGGUCUUGACAUCCACAGAAGUUUCCAGAGAUGGAUUUGUGCCUUCGGGAACUGUGAGACAGGUGCUGCAUGGCUGUCGUCAGCUCGUGUUGUGAAAUGUUGGGUUAAGUCCCGCAACGAGCGCAACCCUUAUCCUUUGUUGCCAGCGGUUAGGCCGGGAACUCAAAGGAGACUGCCAGUGAUAAACUGGAGGAAGGUGGGGAUGACGUCAAGUCAUCAUGGCCCUUACGACCAGGGCUACACACGUGCUACAAUGGCGCAUACAAAGAGAAGCGACCUCGCGAGAGCAAGCGGACCUCAUAAAGUGCGUCGUAGUCCGGAUUGGAGUCUGCAACUCGACUCCAUGAAGUCGGAAUCGCUAGUAAUCGUGGAUCAGAAUGCCACGGUGAAUACGUUCCCGGGCCUUGUACACACCGCCCGUCACACCAUGGGAGUGGGUUGCAAAAGAAGUAGGUAGCUUAACCUUCGGGAGGGCGCUUACCACUUUGUGAUUCAUGACUGGGGUGAAGUCGUAACAAGGUAACCGUAGGGGAACCUGCGGUUGGAUCACCUCCUUACCUUAAAGAAGC
rnacentral:rRNA from 1 species